GGGUGGGUCAGCCAGACCUACCAGAUUUACCGGUUUGGUUGUUCGUUUUGACAGUUUAAACCCUUUUAACAUUUUUAUUAAAACUUUUGGUUUAAACCCAGCCAAAGCGUUUGGUUCUCAAACUGGCCGACUUGCUUCAGUUUUGUCAGGUUGGAUCAGUUUGUUUUACUUUUAAAAACUGUUGUCCACUUUGUUUACAAUCGCUUAUGACCAUUCGAUUCUGACUAGUUUAUUUCAAUUGCAAUUUUACGUAACAAACAGCUACAGAAUCGCAAUUACAUCAAAAGUCAAAACCCUAGCUAAACACAUACAGAAAGAAAUGGAAAAACAAAAAAAACAAUAAUCACAUCAAACCCUAACCAACAAAUUAUCCCUUCAAUCCCAGAUAAACUCUUUCCCGAUAUAACAGAGCCCUUCAAAGAUUCGAUAUAGACCAAACACUAGCAAACAAACAUCACAAAACUCAAAUUAAAACGCUAUGUAGGAUCGUUUUCUGACCCGAAUGAGUCGAUCAGAAGAGUUUUUGCUCAAUACGAAAGGCGGAAACAGUCUAGCACUGUAAGAGCUGAGAAGAUCAAUUUUAUGGCGUACCUGAAAGGGAACAAGGCUGAUAGAGGAGGAAGAAAGAACAAGGGCUUUGUUAUAGUAGUGAUUUUAUUAUUUGCGAGUGUGUCACUAUUUUGAGUCUUUUUCUUCAGUAAUUUAGGGGUGAUUUUAAUAUUGCUGUUUGUUUUUUUUUUUUCAGAGGUAAAACGUCUGCAGUCUGCAGUCUGCGGACCACAUAACGUCUGCAGCUGAAGAGGUGUUUUUUAACUUCUGCAAACUUUAAUCAUACUACAUACACCAAACUUUAAUCAAACGAUCCAUCUAGUUUAAUCAACCUACAUACACCAAACUUUAAUCAUACUACAUACACCAAACUUUAAUCAAACAAUUCAUCUAGUUGAACAUCUAUUUUCCAUAAAAAUUAUAAACUAACACUUAACAAAAGAAUUUUUGACAAACGAUUACAUGAAAAUUAUAAAAGAACAAACAAUUAAACUAAAAACAAACAAUAAAAAAAAACAAUUUUUUGACAAAAAAUAUAAAAGAACUUACCUGUGAAGAUCGACUGGAGGUGGAGGUCGCCGGAGGUGGAGGUGCGGCGGGAGGUGGAGGUCGACUGGAGGUGGGGGUGGAGCAGGUGACGGCUGGAGAACCAAGCUAGGGUUUGGAGUUUUUGUUUUAGAGGUCGAUUGGGGAAGAAGAUGCUGAUCGGCUAUGGAGGUGGUCGAUUGGGGAAGAAGAUGCAGGUCUGCAUGGAGAAUGUUUGGAAGAGGUGAGAAGAGGUGA
rnacentral:lncRNA from 1 species